rnacentral:tRNA from 2 species
GCUGGCGUAGCUCAGUUGGUAGAGCAGCUGACUUGUAAUCAGCAGGUCGACGGUUCGAAUCCGCCCGCCAGCUCAA